AUGGACUUCUCAAUAACACAAAGCAAUCUAAACACACAAUUCACAACGUCUCAUGAAUGAUGCAUUAUCUUAUUAUUAUUGAAAGCAAAAAGAAUACAAAACCAACCAAACAAUCCAAUAAUAUAAUACUAAGCCAACAUAGUAAAGAAAUCCCAAUGGAUUAAUCAAUCUAGCUAAUCAUGUUCAUUAUCAAAAUACACAAGAAUUUAAUCACAACAAUGAGUAAAGGUAGAGAAAACCCGAUUACACCCUUGGAUGAGAGUAAACAGCCCCAAUUCCUCUUGCUCGAAUUGAAUCGAUUCUUGUUCCUCUUGCUUGAUUUGAAAACCAAUCAACGAACCUCGCCCAAUCUUCAAUCUUUGAAGGGAAUUCGAUUGAAACCUUGAUCCAAGUAUCCUUUUCCCUUGGUUUCAGCUCAGAAAACCCUUAGAGAGAGAAAUAUUAGGAUUUUGGGACGUUCUCCCUCGCUCUCCUUUUUCUUCCUCUCUUUGUUCUUUUAAUUAAUUUUCCAUGUCGCCACCAACACGGCCGUCUUGAUGCCCGUGUUCCCAACACGGUCUGGUGUUUAUGCCCGUGUUACUCUCUAUGGCCGUGCUCCCUAAAAACUUCUUUUUCUUUGAUGUUUCAUGCACUCAACACGACCAUGUUGGUGCCUGUGUUGGGAACACGGCCAGUGUUGAAAUCGACAUGGCCAUGUUCAGCUUCCUCAUGCUCGUACUUAACUUGUUUCGGCAGCUUUGACAUCCAAUUAUACUCCAAUUCUUCCCUUUAUCAUUCUUUGACUUCUUUUGAACCUGAUGCACACAAACAGACGCAUAGGGUGAGUGUUGGGACCAAUUCACAUCCAAAUGUCCAUAAAAUCAAUCUUAAAAAUCUCAUUUAGAUGUGUGUAUCUUACGCACAUCAUCUAACUAUUAAAAAUUUCGAUUUAUAAUGAUUCAGUCACUUUUACUCCAAUCAGCUAUCAUUAUCAUAUUUUUCGUAUUUGAUAAUAUAAGUUUGGAGCUUAACAACUCAAAACAUCUUGUUUGAUAGUUAAAUCGAUCUCGUCGAAUUAAUCAUUUUUUAAAUUGUCAUAAUAAGAAACUCCACCACUUUUAAGAAGAAAGAAAGUUAAAAGGAUAACAGCUCGAUUUGCCCAUAAAUUUCUAUUAAAGGAGCAAAUGUAACACCCCAACUCAAACUUCCCAUUGAAUAGCAAUAUAUAUAUAUAUAUAUAUAUAACUUUAUAGACAUAAUUUACUACUUAGUUACAAUAUACAUUCAUACAAUUUAAGUGGCAUGACAUACUUAAUAUAUAUAAGAAAUAUUUAUACAGUAGUUUAAUUCACACAAGUUCCCAAAAUGCCCCAAUGCUUUAGAUAACUCCUCUGGCCCACCUGAUAAUAUUGACUGAUGCAAAGAGAGUAAUGCACAGCUAAGGCUAUCUACAACUGCACUAACCUGAAAAAAAAAAUUGCUAAGGAAUGAGCUAGCGACUCAAUAAGCAUUUAAUUUACUAAACUAUAGUAUAUUAGGCUAGAAUUAUCAAAUCUUUAUCAAUACAGAAAAUUAUACCAACACUUAACUAACAAUCACAAAAUCAACCAUUUCAGUUAUUCUCAUAAACAUAUAAUUUCAUCUCACGUAAUGCAAAUAUUCUCAAACUCAACCAAGUCAAAUAAUUCAAUUCCACAUUAUUUAUAUCAAAUUAGGAUCAGAUGACUCAUCCUUACAUUUCCUCACAUUUUUAAAUUUCAGUAACCACUUGACAAGACUAUCCGCCCGGCUCAGUCUUGCCAUCUCACAUACUCGGGUAGCUAUCCGCCCGGCUCAGCUUUCCCGAUCACACAAUAUCCAUACAAAAGUCAUCAAUCCUUAAUCACAAUCAUUUCACUUCACAACACAUCACAAUCAAUUCACUUCACAACACAUCACAAUCAAUUCACUUUAUAACAAGCCAAUAACAUAACUAAUAUCAACUCAGUCAACCAAGAAAUUAUCAAGUAAUCAAACAGCAGUCCCUACUCAAUAUACACAAAGUUUAGUCUAUUAAAUACUUACCAAAAGUUAUAGGAUAACAAAAUAAUCCUAUUCUUUUUCUCUUACCACUUCCUUGCCUUUGGAUGAACCUAUUCACAUAUUCAAUACAAAUACAAUUCAAUCACAAGGCAUAAAUAUAUAUAUAUAUAUAUAUUUACUAUCAAUAAAAUAUCACAUUUCAACAAAAUAACAUAUAUUCUAGAUAUUAAUAUGAUGCAUGAGAUGAAUGACAACAAAUCAACAUAUUUGUUGAUGAAGGCAGCUUGUAGGUACUCACUUAGAAAUUACACCAAAACUUAUGUACAAUUAAUAAAAAUCUCAUAUUUUCCAGAAUUACACUUCCAUUUUUAUAGAAACCAUAGCAGAAAGAAUCACCUCAAAAUCAUUGGUAUAGAAAUAGUUAUGGCAUUUUCUAUACAGCUGCUCAAAUUUCCAUCUAAACAGAACAGAAAAAAGUUUCCUAUUAAAUGACCAAUCAAACGAAUGAAUUUUCUGAUGAAACACUCCAGAUAUAAAGUUAACAUUCUAAAGUUUCUAUAGACACUAAUUUUACUCAAUUUGUACUUUUCUAGCUCAAGUUGUGAAACACACAAUUAGCAACAAAUUUCUGAAUCCUAAGCCCGAUUUCUGCUUAAAACAGUUUCGGGCAGGCCAUAUUAAGUUCAAUAUAUCUCACGUUAUACUCAACCAAAAAUUAUGAAAUUUUUCAGACAUAUACUACAUAUAUAAAUGAACAACUUUCAUGUUUAACUCUCUGCUUGGUUCAGCCUCUAAAUGCCUCAAAAUGUCAGCACAAUAAUCAGGUCACCUGCUGAACCAAAAACAGAGCAGCAGCAAAAUCGAACCUCAUAAGUUCCUACUCACUCAACAAUCUGCAAAACCAUUUUACAGAGAUAUUCUUGAGACAUAUACCUACAACUUUCAUGUUUGAAAAUUUUCGAGAUAAAGCCUCUAAGGUCACGAAAUCAUAAGUGAAAAAUCUGCCCAGAAAUUUCAGCUUCAAGAUCACAAGUAAAAGCAUGUUUACUCUUGAUUAAACAAUUCCAAAACACAUAAUCAUCAACAAUUUCAUAUCAUUAACCCUAAUUUACAGCAAAAUCAAGCAAUUAAAAUUACUCACCUUUGUUUUCCUUAAUCACAAUCAUUUCACUUCACAACACAUCACAAUCAAUUCACUUCACAACACAUCACAAUCAAUUCACUUUAUAACAAGCCAAUAACAUAACUAAUAUCAACUCAGUCAACCAAGAAAUUAUCAAGUAAUCAAACAGCAGUCCCUACUCAAUAUACACAAAGUUUAGUCUAUUAAAUACUUACCAAAAGUUAUAGGAUAACAAAAUAAUCCUAUUCUUUUUCUCUUACCACUUCCUUGCCUUUGGAUGAACCUAUUCACAUAUUCAAUACAAAUACAAUUCAAUCACAAGGCAUAAAUAUAUAUAUAUAUAUAUAUUUACUAUCAAUAAAAUAUCACAUUUCAACAAAAUAACAUAUAUUCUAGAUAUUAAUAUGAUGCAUGAGAUGAAUGACAACAAAUCAACAUAUUUGUUGAUGAAGGCAGCUUGUAGGUACUCACUUAGAAAUUACACCAAAACUUAUGUACAAUUAAUAAAAAUCUCAUAUUUUCCAGAAUUACACUUCCAUUUUUAUAGAAACCAUAGCAGAAAGAAUCACCUCAAAAUCAUUGGUAUAGAAAUAGUUAUGGCAUUUUCUAUACAGCUGCUCAAAUUUCCAUCUAAACAGAACAGAAAAAAGUUUCCUAUUAAAUGACCAAUCAAACGAAUGAAUUUUCUGAUGAAACACUCCAGAUAUAAAGUUAACAUUCUAAAGUUUCUAUAGACACUAAUUUUACUCAAUUUGUACUUUUCUAGCUCAAGUUGUGAAACACACAAUUAGCAACAAAUUUCUGAAUCCUAAGCCCGAUUUCUGCUUAAAACAGUUUCGGGCAGGCCAUAUUAAGUUCAAUAUAUCUCACGUUAUACUCAACCAAAAAUUAUGAAAUUUUUCAGACAUAUACUACAUAUAUAAAUGAACAACUUUCAUGUUUAACUCUCUGCUUGGUUCAGCCUCUAAAUGCCUCAAAAUGUCAGCACAAUAAUCAGGUCACCUGCUGAACCAAAAACAGAGCAGCAGCAAAAUCGAACCUCAUAAGUUCCUACUCACUCAACAAUCUGCAAAACCAUUUUACAGAGAUAUUCUUGAGACAUAUACCUACAACUUUCAUGUUUGAAAAUUUUCGAGAUAAAGCCUCUAAGGUCACGAAAUCAUAAGUGAAAAAUCUGCCCAGAAAUUUCAGCUUCAAGAUCACAAGUAAAAGCAUGUUUACUCUUGAUUAAACAAUUCCAAAACACAUAAUCAUCAACAAUUUCAUAUCAUUAACCCUAAUUUACAGCAAAAUCAAGCAAUUAAAAUUACUCACCUUUGUUUUCCUUGAUUAAGAAAGCCCAAAUCUUUCAAGCUUAAAAGAAGAAUUUGAUUUUCACUUACUAAAAGUUUUGUAGAGUUUGAUUUGGAAAAUCAAAG
rnacentral:lncRNA from 1 species